CUUGUAGAACAUGCCGCCUGAUGGGUUACAUCAGGACCGCGUGCGCACCAGUAAUGAUCAUGGACAUGUAAUAAGAUAUUUAUGGGUUUGCCCUGGUCGAGCAUGGCUCUCUGGGCUGAUUUGAGUAAAUUGCCGGAGGUAAGGUCCCUGGUCGAGCAUUGCUCUCUGGGCGCCGGCUUAUUUGGAUACUUAAGUGACCAGACUGGAGGUAAGGUCCCUGGUCGAGCAUUGCUCUCGGGGCGCUAGUCUUAUUGGAUUAAGA
rnacentral:lncRNA from 1 species